GUUGCAGCCAAAGAAGAGCGGCAGCAGCACCUCACAGCAAUCCUACGCGCAGGCAUUUCCCACCUGAGUGGUGAAGAGUUUAUUUUCCUCUCCCUACGCCGUGUAGGUGUGACCCACUGGCAGAAAACAUAUUGUAGCCAGCCGGAAAAAAGGGGGGGGGACGAGCCCGAUUUACGGAAAGACCCGACCAAGAAAUCAAGGGAAGGGAUCGUGCGUUCAUCUACCAGCCUUCUCUCCCUUCGCCCCCCCCCAAUAAGUUAUUGGUAAUCACUUCAUGGCGGCUCAGAAGAUAUCCUCCCGGGCACCGGGUGCAAUGCAAGCGAUUUGCAACCAGAGGCUCCAACUACCGGUUGCAUUGCAUUCCUCUGACUGCUACAGAGGUUGAAAGUGGGAGGGGAAUCUCGCUGGCAAGGAAAAGCCAGCCAGCCGGACCUAUCCCCUUAGCAAAACAAACAGCGGAGAAGGGGCGGAGUGGGAAGUCAAGUGUCCUGCGGCCGAGCGAGGCUGCCGACGCGCGCCUGCCCGCCGGCCGGCCGCCACUCACCUUCUGUUGCCGCCUGGCCAUGUCUGUGGGCUGCUUGGCGUUAAACGGGGUCCCCAUAAGUUGGAAUCGACUUGAAGGCAGGGAUGAUACUGUGCUAGGACCAUCAAGAGGUCACCAGUAACAUCAGAAAACCUGACCAUAGGUAUCUGGUGGAAAAAUAAGGAGCUAUACAGCUGGCAAAGGCACAGAACCCUGCCGAACUUUUGCCUGCUAUGAUGCUCGUAUAUGGACACAAGCGCUGUUAGAAAAUAAAACUGGCUGUCAGCCCUACAAAGAUGGAUUCCUUUUGGGACUCGGGUUGCCACUUAGCAGGGUUUAACAGUUAAUGACUUUAACUGUUGAAUGUCCAAAAUUCAACAAAUAACAGCUGUUCCCAGAAUGGAAAUUGACUAUUAGAAAGCAUUUUAGAGGUCACAGGCUCGGUGACCUAUCAAAGUAACUCCAAAUCCUUGCCCUCUUUCAGUGGGUAGGCAAAGGUCUUCAUGAUCGCCUAGCACUUAAUUAAAGAUGUGUUUUUAAAUUUGUAUAUUUGUUUUAAUGUUUUUAGUUACUGUAAAC